rnacentral:rRNA from 1 species
UACAGAGGGGGCAAGCGUUGUUCGGAAUUACUGGGCGUAAAGGGCUCGUAGGCGGCCAACUAAGUCAGACGUGAAAUCCCUCAGCUUAACUGGGGAACUGCGUCUGAUACUGGAUGGCUUGGAUCCGGGAGAGGGAUGCGGAAUUCCAGGUGUAGCGGUGAAAUGCGUAGAUAUCUGGAGGAACACCGGUGGCGAAGGCGGCGUCCUGGACCAAUUCUGACACUGAGGAGCGAAAGCCAGGGGAGCAAACGGG